GACGAACGCUGGCGGCGUGCUUAACACAUGCAAGUCGAACGGAAAGGCCCUGCUUGCAGGGUACUCGAGUGGCGAACGGGUGAGUAACACGUGGGUGAUCUGCCCUGCACUUCGGGAUAAGCCUGGGAAACUGGGUCUAAUACCGGAUAGGAGCCAUUUUUAGUGUGAUGGUUGGAAAGUUUUUUCGGUGUAGGAUGAGCUCGCGGCCUAUCAGCUUGUUGGUGGGGUAAUGGCCUACCAAGGCGGCGACGGGUAGCCGGCCUGAGAGGGUGGACGGCCACAUUGGGACUGAGAUACGGCCCAGACUCCUACGGGAGGCAGCAGUGGGGAAUAUUGCACAAUGGGCGCAAGCCUGAUGCAGUGACGCCGCGUGGGGGAUGACGGCCUUCGGGUUGUAAACUCCUUUCGCUAGGGACGAAGCUUUUUGUGACGGUACCUAGAGAAGAAGCACCGGCUAACUACGUG
rnacentral:rRNA from 1 species